ensembl:lncRNA
CUGUACCUAACUGUGGUGCUCACCCCGCCCCCUCCUUCUCCGGCCAGGCUCCAUCUUCCCGGCCUGGAGCCCACCAGCACCACUCCAGGAGGCUGGGGGAGGAGGGCUGCCGCAGGCAGUCCAAGGUGCUCCCUCCCCCGCCGGCCCGGCCAAGGUCUUCCCAGCCCCAGGGUCGGGAUGGUCUCGUCCUCUGCGCACAGACUUGCCAGCCCUUUGGGCUCUCCAGGGCCUCUUGUCUGCAGCUUGUGUGCAGGAGUUUGCCCUUCCCAGUGGUCCAAGCUCCACCCAAGGGGUCCAUGUGGUAGCCGAGGAUGUGGCUGAGCCUGUGGGGUCCGCGUGGGCCGGGCAGCUUGCUCCGUGGGGGCCUGGUGGUUGUGUCUGACACCUGAUCCUCCCAGUGUAGCGACCCGACUAGGCCCGAGGGGGCUAGAUGCGCCCUUGCAGGCGUGAGAGUUAAUCACCAGCUUUCCUUGCAGCCACACCCGUGGGCUCGGCCCCACAGCAGAACUUGGUAGGGUACAGGGACCUUGGGACUGUGCCAUCUUGGCCAAGCCCGGGCACUCUUCACAGUCUGCUUCCAACCCUGGGGGUGCUUCUGGGGACAGAAAUCGGGCCACCUUCGGAAGGGGAUUUGUGCCUGGACAGGCUGGGGCGAGGCUGUGUGGGGAUGAAGACGGGGGAUGGUUAUCCUUGCUGUGCGCCAGGCUGAGGGUAGAGGCAGGAGAGACCAAGCUAGGGAAAGUUCUGGAGCCUGUUCCCUGGAGGGAGGGGCUUCUUUCUGAAGAACAGGCCCAUUUAACAAAUCCCUAGAACCUGAGGAUGCUGUCCCCUACGUCCCGCAGGUGCCAAGUGGAGUGUGGUGCCAAAGACACCUGUGGCUGCUGAGCCCCUUCCCUGGGGACUGACCAAAGGCUGGGGUGCAGCGGGUGAGGACUGGGGGGUCUUGCAGUCAGUGGGUGACAGCCCCGUGUACCACUGUCCGUUUUUCUUUCUAGACCCCAGACCCUUCCUGCUAUCGAACCUUCUGCUAGGAAGCAAAUUUCCCAAAAGAGCAUGCAGGACCGCUUAGCUUUUGAGACGGGCCAGGAGUGGUUGGCUGGCGAAGAUGCCUGUGUGGGUUUUUGGUGAGUCGCUAGGCUUUGGGGCAGGCAGACCCGGCAGGGAGGGAAGCUGGUGGCAGUGGGCUGCUGAGGGCCGGCUCCCCUGACUUUUCCCGGGGCGGCAAGGUGGGAAGAGCCCACCGGCUCCAGCACAGGCAGGGCUGUGACCGCAGCGAGGGAAGGACCACUUCAGUGGAGCCGUUCGGGGACUGGUCUCGGUCUUGGUCUCUGGGAUGACAUCAGUAGAGAGAACGUGGAUCUGGGAGGCGGUUCUGAAUUCCUGUGGCUGUUCUGCUCGGUGCAGAGACGCCCUGGCACUGGUGUCUUUCAGAGGUGUCAUUUUCAGGAGACUCGCAGGCUUCGAGCGGUGGGGCCUGCCUGGCACCGUGAUCUGACGAGGGCUGGUCGUUUCUGUGGUCAGGGCAGCAGCAGAGCAGAGAGGCUGGUGAGAACUGGGUUUCUAGCCAGACCCCGUUUGGACCCCAGGAGGUGAGGACUCUGAAUUUGUCAUUGGGCAUGGUCCAGGCUGGAUGCUCCCAGCGCUUGUGGUUAGAGGUGACACUGGAGUUGUCCUGCCCUCUUUCCUCCACCUUGGGAGGGAUGGUGUAGAGCUGGAGUGGCCCUCCUGGCCGUUCCCUGCCCAGGCAGGGAUUAGCCACAAGUGUUCGGAGGAUCCAAGAGGAAAGAGAAUAGAUUUCUGUCAAGGGUGGAUGCCACUGUUCUAGCAGGAGCUCGCAAAUCUUUACGUUUUGGUAAAGGAAGGCUGAGGUCUUUAGGAGGCGAGGGCGCCCUUGUACUUCAGAGUCCCGGCCGAGCGGGCCUUUGGUUGGUGACCUGCUGUUCACCACUGACCCUCGGCAGCAGAGUUCGGGGAGAGGGAGAAACUAGCAGGUCGCAGGCAGGAAGGACGAGGAGGGAGGGGGGGCCCUUGGCCCUUUGCGACUGACUAAGUUGCCCAAACCGAGGCCCGCAGUCUCCUGUGACUCCAGUAACUGGAACCCCCCCUCCCCCCAGGGGCGUGGGAGGGCGGCUCUCUCACCCUCCCAUCCCCCCACCCCCCAUUCCCCCCACCCCCACUUCCUCCAUGGGGGGGUGGGCCUCCAGCCCUGGGCCUGAGGACAUGAGCAGGGAUCAGAGAGCAUCACCUGAGUCCCAUUUCACUUCACAGACUGAUUUGGUUGCACAGCCCUAGAAUCCAACCAACCCCCCAAAUGCUGAAAUUCCUUAGAAUACGCAGAGGGAGGAGGUGACUCAACAAGGUGCUAAAACAUUUUAUUAAAAAUAUAUAUUGUUAAAUUAAGUCUGCUGUCUGGACAAUGACUGUUUGUUUUGUUUUCUUGUAGUGGAGUUUAAAAGAGACUAUUAUUUUACUCUGAUAUAUUAUUAUUAAAAAGGCAUUUUAACUUUGUACUUGAAAACUAAAUGAGCGAUUUCAUGUGUUUUAGCUGAGGCAUUGAAGUAGCGGGUGCUUACCUAUUUAUGGGAAAUCAUGUAUUCAUACUGAAGAAUAAAAUCCGUAGCUGAUUUGGUAAUAACUUUUACUGUUACAGACGAUUUCGCUUUGACCCCCGGCGGGAGAGCACUUUUACUGCACAUUCCACGCAGCUAAAUGCAGGACUUACUCCCCGGACCCUUCCCCUCCCAGCCCUGUUUCCUUUCUCUUCAGUUCCUCUUCUGACUCUCUGUCGUUGUUGUUUUUUUCUUUUCUUUUUUUUUCUUCCUUCCUGGUUCCAGCAUCCUUUCACCACUGUAUUUUUUUUUUUUUUUUUUUUAGGGUUGCUUCUCUAUUUAUUGACAAUAAUAAUGUACAUUUCACAGUCUGGUUCUGGAACGCUGGGGAGGGGCGCGAGUGAGAGGGCCCUGGUGGGUCCCCACUCCCGCCUCCC